GACGAACGCUGGCGGCGUGCUUAACACAUGCAAGUCGAGCGAACCUUCGGGUUAGCGGCGAACGGGUGAGUAACACGUGGGCAACCUGCCCCGAGCUCUGGGAUAACCCCGGGAAACCGGGGCUAAUACCGGAUACGACGCGGUCAGACAUCUGACCGUGUGGAAAGUUUUUCGGCUCGGGAUGGGCCCGCGGCCUAUCAGCUUGUUGGUGAGGUAACGGCCCACCAAGGCGACGACGGGUAGCCGGCCUGAGAGGGCGACCGGCCACACUGGGACUGAGACACGGCCCAGACUCCUACGGGGAGGCAGCAGUGGGGAAUAUUGCGCAAUGGGCGAAAGCCUGACGCAGCGACGCCGCGUGAGGGAUGAA
rnacentral:rRNA from 1 species